CUUGAACUAGUUUAGUUUUGAAUUAAUUCCAACAACUAAAUCCACCAACUAAUAGGAUUAACUAGUGUUGGUACUUAUGCUUAUCAAACACAGUAUUCCUAAUUUAAAGCUUAGUAUCAACACUAGAUGGACACAAAUCGAUCUUGCAAGAAAAUCAAUUUUGUCAUCAAUAGGAUCAACUAGUGUUGGUACUUAUGCUUAACAAAUAUAUUAUUUCUAAAUUUAAAGCCAAGUGUCAACACUAGAUGGACACAAAUUGAUCUUGCAAAAAAAUCAAUUUUGUCACCAAUAGGAUCAACUAGUGUUGGGUACUUAUGUUUAAUGAAAUUUAAACACAUUAUAGAUAACUAAUACUGUCUUAUUGAUUAAAGGUUUCUUUUUUAUGGGAGCAUGCUGAAAUUAGUUUCUGAAAUGUUGUGCGCUCGAGGAGGUCAGAAGUUGAGUCCUUAUCUAUGUGCGCAUGUUAGUGGUUUCCAUACUUCAAAGGUAAAAUGGUUUGACUUGAUGCUACUACUUCAUGCAGCCUUUCUAUUUUCAUAUGUGCAUACAUAACAUUGGCAGGAGUGACUGAAUGUUCUUGCUUCUGCCUUGUUGACCUGAAUGGUUCUCCAAUAGAGCAUGGCUAUUUAUACCUAAGCUCCACUUGUUAAUUCUGAGAUUUCUUGUUUGUUUUAUCCAGUGGUGUAUUUGUAUAUCUUUC
rnacentral:lncRNA from 1 species